rnacentral:rRNA from 1 species
GACGAACGCUGGCGGCGUGCUUAACACAUGCAAGUCGUACGGAAAGGCCCUUCUGGGGGUGCAUGCGUGGCUAACGGGCGAGUGACAAGUGCGUAACUUGCCCACCCCUUUCGGAUAACUCUCUUCAGCUGGCUCUAAUUCUGACUAUGUAGUACUGCUGCCUGCUGGGGGUUGGAAGGAUCCGGCGGUUGUGGAUGGAUUCGCGGCCUAUCAGCUGGUUGGUGGGGUAGUGGCUUACCAAGGCGGCGACGGGUAGCCGGCCUGAGAGGGUGACCGGCCACAUUGGGACUGAGAUACGGCACAGACUCCUACGGGAGGCAGCAGUGGGGAAUAUUGCACAAUGGGCGGAAGCCUGAUGCAGCAACGCCGCGUGCGGGAUAACGGCCUUCGGGUUGUAAACCGCUUUCAGCAGGGACGAAGCGUGAGGGAAGGUAACGGGCAGAGGAAGCACGGGCAAACAAGUG